rnacentral:rRNA from 1 species
UCACUGGUGUUCGGGUUGUCAUGCCAAUGGCACUGCCCGGUAGCUAAAUGCGGAAGAGAUAAGUGCUGAAAGCAUCUAAGCACGAAACUUGCCCCGAGAUGAGUUCUCCCUGAGACUAUAAGUCUCCUGAAGGAACGUUGAAGACGACGACGUUGAUAGGCCGGGUGUGUAAGCGCAGCGAUGCGUUGAGCUAACCGGUACUAAUGAACCGUGAGGCUUAACCUUACAACGCCGAAG